rnacentral:sRNA from 1 species
GACAUGGCAGCCUUCAGUAGCAGUGACUCCUGCACUGACACCACCAGUAUGAGUGGGUAAGUUAGUGAUGGGACAGAAACACUUCUCAAGAUCUUCAGGCUUGGCCAAGGAUUAUCAGCCCAUGUGAAUAUGGAAUGAAAGAAGGCAAAGAGCGGUAUAGUUUGUUCUCUUCCUUUUCUGCAAGAAGUCUGGAAGUGUGUUGGCUGGUUGCGUCCCUCUGCAAACAAAGGCAGCGAGGAUCCAGCUCCUUCCCACUGUUCUGUGCUUCUACCCUUAGCAUGUGGUCUUUCUUAUCAGUCAGCCCUCAUUGUCUCCUGGUAGCAGGUCCAGGGAUCACAAGUAAAUGGUGACAUCUAUAGAAAAAC